CCCUGAUGUUAGCGGCGGACGGGUGAGUAACACGUGGGUAACCUGCCUGUAAGACUGGGAUAACUCCGGGAAACCGGGGCUAAUACCGGAUGCUUGUUUGAACCGCAUGGUUCAAACAUAAAAGGUGGCUUCGGCUACCACUUACAGAUGGACCCGCGGCGCAUUAGCUAGUUGGUGAGGUAACGGCUCACCAAGGCGACGAUGCGUAGCCGACCUGAGAGGGUGAUCGGCCACACUGGGACUGAGACACGGCCCAGACUCCUACGGGAGGCAGCAGUAGGGAAUCUUCCGCAAUGGACGAAAGUCUGACGGAGCAACGCCGCGUGAGUGAUGAAGGUUUUCGGAUCGUAAAGCUCUGUUGUUAGGGAAGAACAAGUGCCGUUCAAAUAGGGCGGCACCUUGACGGUACCUAACCAGAAAGCCACGGCUAACUACGUGCCAGCAGCCGCGGUAAUACGUAGGUGGCAAGCGUUGUCCGGAAUUAUUGGGCGUAAAGGGCUCGCAGGCGGUUUCUUAAGUCUGAUGUGAAAGCCCCCGGCUCAACCGGGGAGGGUCAUUGGAAACUGGGGAACUUGAGUGCAGAAGAGGAGAGUGGAAUUCCACGUGUAGCGGUGAAAUGCGUAGAGAUGUGGAGGAACACCAGUGGCGAAGGCGACUCUCUGGUCUGUAACUGACGCUGAGGAGCGAAAGCGUGGGGAGCGAACAGGAUUAGAUACCCUGGUAGUCCACGCCGUAAACGAUGAGU
rnacentral:rRNA from 1 species